UAAAUACUCCUCCGUCCAACAAAAGAUGUCUCAAGUUUGACUAAAUUUGGAUGCAUCUAUACACAACUUCGUGUAUAGAUGCAUCCAAAUUUAGUCAAAGUUAAGACAUCUUUUGUUGGCUGGCUGUGAUGGCUG
rnacentral:pre_miRNA from 1 species